AAGGCGACCUCUGAGCUCUUGUCCUUACCCUGGGAGAGUAUGGAACUCAGAGAAAUCAUCUGACCCGGGCUGAGCAGGGCUUGGUGGGAACAGCUCUUUUCUGCUCCACUCAACUUUGGCUGAGGAAGGUGGCUAAAAGGCUGGGGAAUGGAAUCAUCUGAAGGCUCACUCACCCACAAGCCUGACACCUGGACUGAGAAGACUCAACAUCUGGGGCUCCUCAAGCAUCUGUCUGUGUCUCUAUGUGGCAUCACGUCAGGGUCUCUUUAUCGUAGUUGCUUCAGGUUAGCCAGACUCCAGGAUCACAGGUGGAGAGGCAGAGAGGAGAGGAGAAAGAGACACAGAAAGAAAAAGAGAGACAGAGUACUAGGUGGAAGCCAAAUGGCCAUUUGUGACUCAGC
rnacentral:lncRNA from 1 species